rnacentral:rRNA from 1 species
AACGCGAAGAACCUUACCAGCCCUUGACAUCCCGGUCGCGGGAACGAGAGAUCGAUCCCUUCAGUUCGGCUGGACCGGAGACAGGUGCUGCAUGGCUGUCGUCAGCUCGUGUCGUGAGAUGUUGGGUUAAGUCCCGCAACGAGCGCAACCCUCGCCCUUAGUUGCCAUCAUUUAGUUGGGCACUCUAAGGGGACUGCCGGUGAUAAGCCGCGAGGAAGGUGGGGAUGACGUCAAGUCCUCAUGGCCCUUACGGGCUGGGCUACACACGUGCUACAAUGGCGGUGACAAUGGGACGCAAAGGGGCAACCCCGAGCAAAUCUCAAAAAGCCGUCUCAGUUCGGAUUGUGCUCUGCAACUCGAGCACAUGAAGUUGGAAUCGCUAGUAAUCGCAGAUCAGCACGCUGCGGUGAAUACGUUCCCGGGCCUUGUA